rnacentral:rRNA from 1 species
CGGGUGGCAGCAGUGGGGAAUUUUGGACAAUGGGCGCAAGCCUGAUCCAGCAAUGCCGCGUGCAGGAAGAAGGCCUUCGGGUUGUAAACUGCUUUUGUCAGGGAAGAAAUCCUGUGGGUUAAUACCUCGUGGGGAUGACGGUACCUGAAGAAUAAGCACCGGCUAACUACGUGCCAGCAGCCGCGGUAAUACGUAGGGUGCGAGCGUUAAUCGGAAUUACUGGGCGUAAAGCGUGCGCAGGCGGUUGUGCAAGACAGGUGUGAAAUCCCCGGGCUUAACCUGGGAACUGCACUUGUGACUGCACGGCUAGAGUACGGUAGAGGGGGAUGGAAUUCCGCGUGUAGCAGUGAAAUGCGUAGAUAUGCGGAGGAACACCGAUGGCGAAGGCAAUCCCCUGGACCUGUACUGACGCUCAUGCACGAAAGCGUGGGGAGCAAACAGGAUUAGAUACCCGAGU